CCUACGGGAGGCAGCAGUGAGGAAUAUUGGUCAAUGGGCGCGAGCCUGAACCAGCCAAGCAGCGUGAAGGAUGACUGCCCUAUGUGUUGUAAACUUCUUUUAUAAAGGAAUAAAACGCGGCACGUGUGCCUGUUUGCAUGUACCUUAAGAAUAAGGAUCGGCUAACUCCGUGCCAGCAGCCGCGGUAAUACGGAGGAUCCGAGCGUUAUCCGGAUUUAUUGGGUUUAAAGGGAGCGUAGAUGGGUUGUUAAGUCAGGUGUGAAAGGUUGGGGCUCAACCGUAAAAUUGCAAUUGAUACUGGCAGUCUUGAGUACAGGUGAGGUAGGCGGAAUGCGUGGUGUAGCGGUGAAAUGCAUAGAUAUCACGAAGAACCCCGAUUGCGAAGGCAGCUUACUAAACUGUGACUAACAUUGAGGCUCGAAAGUGUGGGUAUCAAACAGGAUUAGAUACCCUUGUAGUC
rnacentral:rRNA from 1 species